rnacentral:rRNA from 1 species
GGCUCAGGAUGAACGCUGGCGGCGUGCUUAACACAUGCAAGUCGAACGAGGUCCAACCUUCGGGUGAAGACCGAGUGGCGAACGGGUGAGUAACACGUGGGGAACCUGCCCUUCUCUCUGGGAUAACUCCGAGAAACCGGAGCUAAUACCGGAUACUCCUUGCGGAUCGCAUGGUCUGCUCGGGAAAGCUCCGGCGGAGAAGGAUGGCCCCGCGGCCCAUUAGCUNGUUGGUGGGGUAACGGCCCACCAAGGCGACGAUGGGUAGCCGAGCUGAGAGGCUGAUCGGCCACACUGGGACUGAGACACGGCCCAGACUCCUACGGGAGGCAGCAGUGGGGAAUCUUGCGCAAUGGGCGAAAGCCUGACGCAGCAACGCCGCGUGCGGGAUGAAGGCUCUCGGGUCGUAAACCGCUUUCAGCAGGGAUGAAAUUGACAGUACCUGCAGAAGAAGCCCCGGCUAAAUACGUGCC